rnacentral:lncRNA from 1 species
UUUGAACUUUUGUUCUUUUUCUUGCUAACACGGUCAGGAGUAACAUCAGGAUUUGUUUCAGGUAAGUACGCUUGACCAACAACAUAACCAGCACUAAGGUUGGCACUUUCGAACACCUGAAAAAUUAAGUUGGGUAAUUUCCAUUUAGAUCAGUGACCAGCAGCAGAACCAACACUAGAAAUUACUGGAAAACUAAAUAGGAAACAUAUGUGAUUUGUCCAUGGUAAUCUGAAUGAAAGGUUUUUUUGCUAUGACAGCAAUUCAUCAUGCUUUGUGGAUGCCUGAGUCCUAUUUGGUAUGGUUUGUAUGGAAUGCAAUCUAGUUCCUUUUGCUACUUGCCACUGCCUAUGAUUUGUUGAUGUUAGUUUGACGAAUGAAUGGCAUUGUAUUAGUCUGACGAAUGUUUCACAUGUUCAGCAAUUUGAUUCUUUUGCCCUGAGUGUUUGUUUGCAUCUAGCCAACUACCAAACCGGAAAGCUCCAGAUCGAACCAAAGAUGAAAGAAGGAAGUGGCGUACUGCUUACCCUUGUGCGUCGGCGGCGGCUUCUGUCUUGCUCCACGGAGGCGUGCGCCGGUGCGCUUGACGGUGCGAGGGAGGGCGGAGGUCAACGACGCGAAG